CAUCAGCCUGGUGCAGGGUGGAGUGGGGUGGACCUGGAUGGGUGCUGGCAGGGGCCAGCAGUAUCAGAUCCCCUGGAGCUGGGGUUACAGGCGGUUGUGAGUCAUCCCAGUGAGUGCUGGGCUCAGUCUUCUGCAAGCAGAGUGCUGCUCUUAACAGAUAAGCGUGUGGAUUUUUAUGGAGAUAAGCCAAAGGUGAGAGAAGAAAACCAGCCUGUCCAG
rnacentral:lncRNA from 1 species